UACGUAACAGGUUAUUUCCAUGUCAUAUAGCACCUACAUAUCACAAGAAUAACAAUGUUAAAUUACAUGUAACUUCCACGUUAUAAAAUGUGUUCACUGGGCAGUUUUACCUUCGAAGGGGACUGGGGGGAGGAGAGCGAGGAAGCCGCGUCGCCCAAAAUCCAUUUGGGAAUCUUAUUUACUAAAUAAAAGAAAGCUAUAUACAAAAUUUCAACAAAAUCGGAGGGUUGUCGCUUUUGGAAGUACACCUCUUAUUUUACAACAGCUUUAUAAUAAUAAUAACUAAAUUGUUACAAUUACGUAAAAUAUGUAUAUGGCUUUAUUUGUAGAACUUUUUACGAGCUUCAUUUUUUGUUCGAUAACUUUUUCCGUACAAUUAAUAUUUUAUGAAAUAAUUAACAAAAAGUUUUACCUUUGAAGGGGCUAGGGAGCGAGGAGGCCGCGUCGCCCAAAAUCCAUGUGGGAAUCUUAUUUACUAGAUAAAAAGAAGCUAUAUACAAAAUUUCGGCAAAAUCGGAGGAUUGUUGCUUUCGGAAGUUUAUCCCAAUUUUUCCUUGCAGAUUCGUGUUCUACACAUCGAAAUAUACAAAAUAGUGAAAUUACAGCCAAAUCGGAAUCGUUUGGAAACGAUUAGAAUAAUCAAAUUUUACUUCAAAAUGGAUUGGAGUAAAGAAAAAUAUUCACACUUUAUUGCACUAUAGUGCAGACUUUACUCCCGCACCUACCCCGUCGGUAGGGUGCCCUCGGCAUAGUUAUUUCUCACUGUGUCCAAGUGAAUGGUGUACAAAUGAACGGUGUGCAACUGAACGAUAUGCAAAUGAACGGUAUGCAAAUGAACAGUGCGUAAAAUCGUGUCCAAAAGCACCGUGUCCAUUUGAACCGUAUGCAAAUGCAUCGCUCCCGUCUAAUAAAAUAUAAAAAACAGAUCUUAUAAGAUACAAAUAGAUUUAAUUUAAUCUACGCACAUACAAUUAAACAUCUUUCAUUUUUUCUUCGGUAAGCAAUUAACAAAAAAACAAUGUAUCAGAUAAAAGAUUUUGAUGUAUGUGUGAAGGAAAAUAAUGAUAAAAUCAAUUUUCAAACAAAAUUUCGAUUUUUUAUUUGUUAUAAUUUAUUUCAACAUUAAACAUAUUAUUGUUUUAAACACUUAAAAUACUAGACAAACAUUUCUCCAUUAGGAGAUUAAUUCUCCCUUUUAAACGUUAUUUACAAUUGUUAAGAAA